UUCAAUGGGCGGGCCUUGGUGGGGGCACCUUCGGGUGCGCCGGUUCCUUCGGUUGCCGGUCUGUCAACCCUGCCCUGUGCCCGCCCACCUCA
rnacentral:antisense_RNA from 2 species